AACGAACGCUGGCGGCGUGUCUUAAGCAUGCAAGUCGUGCGGCAAGGGCAGCAAUGCCCCUAGAGCGGCGGACUGGUGAGUAACGCGUGGGUGAUCUGCCCUUGGGAUGGGGAUAGCCACUAGAAAUAGUGGGUAAUACCGAAUACGUUCCCCCGACUGUGGUUGGGGGAGGAAAAGCGCUUCGGCGCUGCCCGAGGAUGAGCCCGCGUCCCAUUAGCUAGUUGGUGAGGUAAAGGCCCACCAAGGCGAUGAUGGGUAGGCGGCCUGAGAGGGCGUACGCCCACACUGGGACUGAGAUACGGCCCAGACUCCUACGGGAGGCAGCAGCUAAGAAUAUUCCGCAAUGGACGAAAGUCUGACGGAGCGACGCCGCGUGGAUGAAGAAGGCCGAAAGGUUGUAAAGUCCUUUUGUUGGGGAAGAAUAAGCGCGGGAGGGAAUGCCCGCGUGAUGACAUGAACCGACGAAUAAGCCCCCGGCUAACUACGUGCCAGCAGCCGCGGUAA
rnacentral:rRNA from 1 species